rnacentral:rRNA from 1 species
UUACCAAGGCUACGAUGGGUAGGGGUCCUGAGAGGGAGAUCCCCCACACUGGUACUGAGACACGGACCAGACUCCUACGGGAGGCAGCAGUGAGGAAUAUUGGACAAUGGGCGCAAGCCUGAUCCAGCCUUGCCGCGUGCAGGAUGACGGUCCUAUGGAUUGCAAACUGCUUUUAUACGAGAAGAAACACUCCAACGUGUUGGAGCUUGACGGUAUCGUAAGAAUAAGGAUCGGCUAACUCCGUGCCAGCAGCCGCGGUAAUACGGAGGAUCCAAGCGUUAUCCGGAAUCAUUGGGUUUAAAGGGUCCGUAGGCGGUUUAAUAAGUCAGUGGUGAAAGCCCAUCGCUCAACGGUGGAACGGCCAUUGAUACUGUUAAACUUGAAUUAUUAGGAAGUAACUAGAAUAUGUAGUGUAGCGGUGAAAUGCUUAGAGAUUACAUGGAAUACCAAUUGCGAAGGCAGGUUACUACUAAUUGAUUGACGCUGAUGGACGAAAGCGUGGGUAGCGAACAGGAUUAGAUACCCUGGUAGUCCACGCCGUAAACGAUGGAUACUAGCUGUUGGGAGCAAUCUCAGUGGCUAAGCGAAAGUGAUAAGUAUCCCACCUGGGGAGUACGUUCGCAAGAAUGAAACUCAAAGGAAUUGACGGGGGCCCGCACAAGCGGUGGAGCAUGUGGUUUAAUUCGAUGAUACGCGAGGAACCUUACCAAGGCUUAAAUGUAGAUUGACCGAUUUGGAAACAGAUCUUUCGCAAGACAAUUUACAAGGUGCUGCAUGGUUGUCGUCAGCUCGUGCCGUGAGGUGUCAGGUUAAGUCCUAUAACGAGCGCAACCCCUGUUGUUAGUUGCCAGCGAGUCAAGUCGGGAACUCUAACAAGACUGCCAGUGCAAACUGUGAGGAAGGUGGGGAUGACGUCAAAUCAUCACGGCCCUUACGCCUUGGGCUACACACGUGCUACAAUGGCCGGUACAGAGAGCAGCCACUGGGCGACCAGGAGCGAAUCUAUAAAACCGGUCACAGUUCGGAUCGGAGUCUGCGACUCGACUCCGUGAAGCUGGAAUCGCUAGUAAUCGGAUAUCAGCCAUGAUCCGGUGAAUACGUUCCCGGGCCUUGUACACACCGCCCGUCAAGCCAUGGAAGCUGGGGGUGCCUGAAGUCGGUGACCGCAAGGAGCUGCCUAGGGUAAAACUGGUAACUAGGGCUAAGUCGUAACAAGGUA